UGGAAGAACACUGGCACAUUAACCAUUUGCAUAUACAAGAAAUGCAUAUCUCUGAGUGCAUGCUUUUGAAAACCUGUCUCCUAAGAUAGACAUUUUGCAAGAGAAGAAAGGUCCAUUUUCAUGAUUACCCUGACAAGAGACAUCAAGUGACAAGAGAAUGCCUCAGCCAACUGCAAGAUGUCUAACAGGACAAAAAUCCUGUAAGACACCAAAAGGGAAAGGAAGAAAACCAAGAGAGGAAAAAUGACAAGGAAAGAGUGGAAGCCUCCAGCAGAUUGCAAG